AGCUGUCUGGGGCUGGGGAGAGGCCCUGUCCACCUCCCCUCUACCUAUGCAUCCUUGAACUUAAUCCCCCUUGGAGGAAGCCAGCUCCCUAUUUCCCCAGAGAAAGUGCCAAGAGAGGAAGGAGAAUUUUGCUGACUCACCGGCAGAGGCCUCCCAACAAGGAUGGACGGGGGAAUCUAAGUGCAGAUGGUGGGGUGGGGAGCCUUGUGGGGGCUGAAAGCAAAUAAAUAAUUACAACUGUGCUAAGUGAUGGAAAAUAGGGAGGACUUCCUGGUGGAGGCAGUUGUCUGGGCAAGAAUCAGAAGAAGUAGUAGUUUAACUAGGCCAAGGAUAGAAGGAAGAGCAUCCCAAACAGAUUAAACUGCCAAGAGACUGGAGCCAGCCUAGUGAGUUCAUGUUCCUGAAACGAGGCCUGGCGGGGCAGAUACAGCCCUGCGUGCUGAGCUCAGGACAGACAGUGGCGUCAGCCAGGGAACAUACCCAACCUGGUGCCACAUGCGGUCAGCUCCCGGCAAAGGACUGCUCCUGCCACCAUGGAAACCAUGUGGGUAAAGAUCCGCCCUCCAUAAACUUCUCUGAGCAUCACCACAAGCCAAUAAAAUAAGAAGAAGAUUGGAAGACCAAUAAAAGAAGUUCCUGAGAUUGUUCUUCUCUUCGGAGAGACAAGAAGAACAGGGCCCAGGGAACAGCCAGAUUGUCGCCUUCGACGAGUCACUUCGUGAGAAGGUUGCUGCGAGCUUCCCUGCCCGGCACCAGCCUUCCUGGCUCCCUUUAUGCGCCUUGCAGGACCACAGGACAGACCAACUUUGUCACCCUUGGAGGGGGCCCCUUGGUGGUGCAGAUGGCAGCUGGAAAAGCAGGAAAGCAACCUGCAACAGAAGCUGGCUUGCUGCCCGAGGAGGGGAGCUUCAGAGAGGACAGACAGAGAUACCGAGAGAGACAGAGGACAGAGACAGAACAAACAGAGAGAAGACAGGCCCCCACCCGUAUCACACACGCCAGAGGACUCACAUAUUCUCAGUGUCCCUGAAACAAGACCUUCGGAAUCUGGGUGCUUCCUUCUGCUGAAGAGUCUGCAGAUGGAAAGAAGCGGGGUGGGUGGG